UUUAUAUAAAAAAUUAAAGUAAACCGUUUAACGAAACAUAUCCUACAGCUCAGAGUCAGAGCGCCAAAAGGACGGAGAGAUGGACAGAGAAAUACUAAAAUCGAAAUGGAUAGCCACAGUUGCCAGCAUAUGGAUCCAGUGCAGCUGCGGUGCAUCCUACACCUUUGGCAUCUACUCUUCCAUCCUCAAGUCCACCCAAGGUUACGACCAAUCAACCCUCGACACCGUCUCUGUCUUCAAGGAUAUCGGAGCCAACGCCGGUGUCCUCUCUGGCCUUCUCUAUUCCGCCGUCACCCUCCACCGCAACCACCGCCGUCUCGGAUUCUUUAGCGGGCCAUGGCUGGUCCAUGCGGCGGGGGCGAUCCAAUGUUUCAUUGGGUAUUUCGUGAUUUGGGCUUCCGUGAAUGGGUUGAUUCCCCGGCUGCCGGUGCCGCUUAUGUGUUUGUUCAUGUGGGUGGCGGCUCACGCGCAGACGUUCUUCAACACCUCGAACGUCGUGAGCGGCGUCCACAAUUUCGGUGACUAUGGUGGGACCAUUGUUGGCAUAAUGAAGGGCUUUCUUGGUUUGAGUGGAGCAAUACUAAUCCAAUUUUAUGAGACAGCAUGCAAGGGUAACCCAAGUACUUACAUUCUACUACUUGCACUGACACCAACGUUGGUCUCUCUGUUGCUUAUGAAUUUGGUAAGAAACUAUGACACAAACACAAAAGAUGACAAGAAGCACUUGAAUGCUUUCUCAGCAGUUGCUCUGAUCAUUGCUGCUUAUCUUACAAUCAACAUUUUUUUGGAGAACAUCCUUGCUUUGCCAUUAUGGUCACGCAUGAUUACAUUUGCAGUCUUGCUGUUUCUUCUUGCCUCUCCUCUUGGAAUUGCAGUCAGAGCUCAGAGGGAGAACUCUGAUAGAUUUGCACAAGCAUUAUUGGAAGAGAGGGGUUACAAACCAAAGCCAAAAGUAUAUUCUGAGUUUUCUACAGCAGAGAAUCCUACAGAUUAUCGUGCAUUGCCUAGUGGUGAGGGUCAAGCAAAGGCUUCUACUGGUGACAGAAAUCCGUCAGAUGAAGAAGACCUGAAUCUCUUGCAAGCCUUGGGAACUGUAAACUUCUGGUUGUUGUUUAUUGCUACGAUUUGUGGAUUAGGAUCUGGGCUCGCUACAGUAAAUAACAUCAGUCAAGUAGGAGAAUCCCUUGGUUACACAACCAUUGAAACAAAUUCUUUAGUUUCAUUGUGGAGUAUAUGGAAUUUUCUUGGCCGUUUUGGAGCUGGGUUUGUGUCAGAUAUUUUCUUGCACAGAGGUGGCUGGGCAAGGCCUUUAUUCAUGGUUAUCACUUUAUCAACUUUGGCCAUCGGCCAUAUGGUUAUUGCCUCAGGUUUUACUAAAUGUUUGUACCUGGGUUCAUUCCUUGUGGGGGUUUCUUAUGGUUCACAAUGGUCAUUGAUGCCUACAAUCUGUUCUGAAAUAUUUGGUGUGGGACACAUGGGUACUAUAUUCAACACCAUUGCCAUAGCAAGUCCUCUUGGAUCAUAUAUUUUCUCUGUAAGAGUGAUCGGGUACAUUUAUGAUAAGGCAUCAACCAGUGAAGAUAACACGUGCUUUGGAACUCACUGCUUCAUGCUGUCUUUUCUAAUCAUGGCAUCUGUUACUUUCUUUGGGGUUCUUGUUGCUCUUGCAUUGUUCUUUAGGACAAGGAGGUUCUAUCAGGUGGUUGUGCUUAGACGGGUACAACAUUCUUAGAGAACAUGAUGCGGGAGAGUUUGUAUUAAUUCAGGGAGAAUGUGCUCCGCUUUUAUUGGCUGGCUGCUACUGCAACUGGUGGAGGUCUUGAUGGACCAGUGGUGCACAUGCUUGGAGCAAUCCAGUGCUUAGCUGCCAGCCUACCAGUCUACCACUGUACUUGGAAUUCUUGUUGCUACUGUAUUGUUCUUACGAGCAAAGAGUUUCUAUAAGCUGGUUGUGCUAAAAAGAUCACAGAGUUUCUAUACUAUUAGAGGACUGGUUGGACAUGUUUUUAUAAUAAUUGCAAUUGACUGAGCCUGUCUUGUUCUUUAUCUAUAGCAGUCCUGUCUGUUACGAUACAUUUGCUCCAGUUUCUACAUAACGUAUGGAAAAGGAGGCAAGAAAGAUUUGUUUUAAUAUAGCAGAGAGCUUUAAUUAGGGCCUAUAUUUGAGAGCACUUUUAAUGAUUUAAAUUAGCUGUUGAUAAAGCUAGGUUAUUUUCUUCA